UCCCCUCGGCGGGGCUGAAUGAUCAAAACUGGUGGUGAGAAUUUUUCCGGACCGUUUCUAGGCAGCCCUCCCCCUCCACCGGUUGGGGGGGCCCUUCCUCCUUCUCCUCCCUUUUCCUCCCCCCCUCCUCCUCCAGCGUCUGGGCUGAGUGAUCAAAAUAGAGGAAGAUGGUUGUCGCCGCAAUCCAGGGCUUUGCAAGGCGCGGUUUAAUGGGCCGCCUGUCAGCUUCCUGCUCGCUGGAGGAGGUGACAAGCCGAGCGAGCCGGGAAGGGCCUGGGGCCUGACGGGCUGCACCCGCGCCCCUGCCCGCACCUCCCCUGGGGUGCGCCUCCAGAACGCACGGGGGAGACGCCAAAACAGACAAGGGCUGCUUUUUUCUUUUCCAUUUUUUCUUCCUUUUAAAACAAAGCGGCGAUUCAUUCCCUCUCCCCCAGCAGCGCCUUCGGGUGGGAUGGGCAGGCGAGAAGGCCGUUUUCCUUGCCCCGGCCUCGGGUCCCUCCCUGAAACGCGGCGUCAGAUGGUUACUGAUUAAUAUUUUGGAGAGGCCUUGGCGGCGGGCAGCGGCAAAAUCCGUUCUGGGUUGAGUCGCCGGGAGCUGCCCGCGGCAGACCUACCUGUCUAGGAGCGCUGGAAACGCCGGAUAAUCGCAGGGACCCCGCACCCGCAUCUCCGCAAACCCACAGGCUACCAAGUCCAGUUGGGCAUUACCCUCGAGGAAGGCUUUGGAGGGGCAGGAAUCCUUACCGUGGUGACAUUUUUUUUUUUUUUUUAAUUAAGAAAAGCCUGCUCUUUCGCCCUAUGCUGCAGAAUCAGCGUUUUCGCAUUUCUAUUUUUUAAUACAUCUUUCAGGCAACUUUUCUGGAGGGAGAAAAAAAAUGAGCUAGUUAGCGACCCAUUCGUUCUAUUUUCUUUUCUCCACUUUUAGAAAAAAAAAGAGGGGGGAGGGCUGGAAAGAGAACUGGGGGUGUCUAAUUUAAUUCCAGGAUAAAUUUGAGGAAAAAAAGUUCGGCCUCUUGAGGGCAGUUUCAAGUUGCCCUUCCUGGAGCCCCCUGCGUUGGUUUCUAGGCUGCCCUCUUUGGGAAGCUGGAGCUCCGCGCUGGGGGGUUGGGGGGAAGGAGAAAAGAACGAAAAUAGCCGGAGCCGAGGGGAACGACAGUGGUGACUGCGCUUGGAGCUCAGCUCGCGGGUCUCAGUGGCGGGCGGCCCGGGCCGCGGGAGGCACCCGGUGCAGCCCCGGGAUGACCAAGAGAAAAGUCGAAGAGAGGGGGGUUAGAGAAAGGAGUACUGGAGAUGUAACCAAGGGCCUCAUACAUACUAAACAUGCAGACUACACCCCAUACUAAGCAUACUGAGCUGCACCCCUUAAAAAAAGAAUCUGAAACUUCUGGAGACCUCACAAAAGUGGAAUCCUUGGCUAUCUGCCCUUCAGGACUGGCUUCUUUCAUGCAGCACCUGUGCAUCCUUGAGGUUCACAUUGGCGGAGAAAUCAAUGCCCUUCCUUUUUAGAGCUAUGUAAUAUUCCCUUGCCUAGCUACGUUAUAUUUUGUUUAUCCAUUCAUCUGUCCAAGGACACUCAGUGUUUCGAUCCAUUUUCUGUAGUUAUAACUGAGUAUCAUAGACCAGGUGAUCUACAGAGUGUAGCUUUAUGUAGCUCAUCACAGAGCUUGUGGCAGCACCCUCUGGCACAGACCUUGCUGCUGAGACACGGAGGUGGAGGGUAUCACACAGCAGGCCGGCACAGCUGCCAAGUAGAGCUGUUAGCAUAACAAGCCAUUCUCUCCAAAACCCAAGAGCCCACCAUUCUGUUCCUCUGUGACAAGACCCAGUCAUGCCCCAAAGGCCCAGCCACCACUUGCCACUCAUGUAUUUAGGAGCUGAGUUGCUAGUACCUGAAAUUUUGGGGAUGCAUGUAAACCGCUCCACAGAGUCACCUCCCCUGGUGGCACAUGUCACCUGUGCUGCUGUGGAGACCUCCUGAGGUGUGACUUACACUGAUUUGGAUCUGCACCCUGGGGGAACUGAGGAUCUUGGACAAUGCAGUUUUGUUUAUUUUGUUUAUUUUUUUCUGGUACUGGGGAUCAAACUCAGAACCUUGUGCU